CUACCACACAACUUGUGCAGAUCCGUCCAUGGAGCUUCGGGAAGGUGAUGGCAGAUUCUUCAACCGUUUGGCACUCAUCUAUUCACCCAAAUCCUAGAGCCUAUCCCGACGCCAUAGGAGGGUCCACUAGUUCGAGGCCAGCUCGGAUUGUUGAUCCAUGAGUUUAGUGGUGAGGUCGAGAUGAAGCACGUUAGUGGGUUUGCUGAUUUAGUGUAGACGGCGGCUUUUCGGAGCUCGAUAGUAGGCGCACCUGACCUGGAGAGAGUUUCUGGAUCCCAAGUGACUCGAUUGGAUGAGCUCAUCGUUCGCUGCGUUUGCUCUGAUGCUCUACUUCACUUGCUGCGUGAAUCUGACACUGAUCGGUGCCACAUGAUGGCGAGCCACACAGAUGGGUAAAUGAAGCGCACCCUCGCAGAACAUGCUGUGUCCGAUAGGAGGAUAUUGACAUCAGUUAAGCUUUUCUCUGUUCCGAAAACUGUGCUGCAGCUCUGCGCAAGACAAUUCGCUACAUGCAAAGUGAACUGUUGCAUUUGUUUUCAGCAACCUGUGCUAUACGCUGAGAAAGCAGCUUGAUAGACCUGGAGGUUAAAUGAUCGUUCUCGUUGUCAUUUUAUGUAUCUAUUUUCUGCAGUACUACGAAAGUGAUGGGCUGGUGAAUAGCAGUAGACAUGGCAAUCUUUCCAAGGUAUUCACCUUAAUUUGUCGUCCAGAGCUUGCAAUUUCGUGCAGAAAAGUUUCGACGCUACAGCAUUAUGAUGCAGAGUAGCUAAGAGAAUUCAGGGUGGUCAUACUCCUUCACUUUCCGUCUCCACAGUGCCGCUGCCGUUGUCUUAUUCCGUGACAAUGCUCUUUGCCUCCGAGAGCUCAAAUCACGCCUUUUCUUCUGAAUGCUAUGAGGUCGAAACUUCAUUUGGGAUUUCGGCGAAAUGAAGCCUGACCUCUUAUUUGAGUAAAUUAAAGGCCAUCGCAAAAAUAUGUAGCAGAGUUAGAAUUAUAGAAAUUUGCAAUUUGUAUAAAAGUCAAUCUGCUUUCAAAUUGAA